rnacentral:lncRNA from 1 species
CUGCUUCUAUCGAUUUACUUUCGUUGAAUUGAAUGCAUGUUUGACCGUAAAAAAAAAAAUACAAACUUAUUAUUCUUUGCUUCUUCAAAAGAAUGACAAGCAAACUAAAAAUUUCAUAAGAUAAAGCAAGCAACUGUUGAUGUUCAAUGACUGAAAUUUUGACAUCUAUAUAAUUCAAUUCUUCUGUUCUAACCACAAACAAAGAAACCCUUAAUUUAUUCCAUAAGCUAUCAUUCUUCCACUAAUUUAGAAAAUCAAGUGUUUUUGAUUCGGUAAGAAUUACAAUUGAGUAUAUAAUACAAUUUUUAUGCACCGACAACGUGUAUAUUUUUGAAAUAAACUCCGAAAACAAUACAUGAUAUGUCUUUGUGA